rnacentral:rRNA from 1 species
UACAGAGGUCUCAAGCGUUGUUCGGAUUCAUUGGGCGUAAAGGGUGCGUAGGCGGCGCGGUAAGUCGGGUGUGAAAUCUCGGGGCUUAACUCCGAAACUGCAUUCGAUACUGCCGUGCUUGAGGACUGGAGAGGAGACUGGAAUUUACGGUGUAGCGGUGAAAUGCAUAGAUAUCGUAAGGAAGACCAGUGGCGAAGGCGGGUCUCUGGACAGUUCCUGACGCUGAGGCACGAAGGCCAGGGGAGCAAACGGG